rnacentral:rRNA from 1 species
UACGUAGGGGGCAAGCGUUAUCCGGAUUUACUGGGUGUAAAGGGAGCGUAGACGGCCUUGCAAGUCUGGUGUGAAAGCCCGGGGCUCAACCCCGGGACUGCAUUGGAAACUGCAUGGCUGGAGUGCAGGAGAGGUAAGCGGAAUUCCUAGUGUAGCGGUGAAAUGCGUAGAUAUUAGGAGGAACACCAGUGGCGAAGGCGGCUUACUGGACUGUAACUGACGUUGAGGCUCGAAAGCGUGGGAAGCAAACAGG